rnacentral:rRNA from 1 species
UGAUACGUAGGGGGCGAGCGUUGUCCGGAUUUACUGGGCGUAAAAGGUUCGUAGGUGGCUCGUCCAGUCGGACGUGAAAUCUCCCGGCUUAACUGGGAGGGGUCGUUCGAUACUAGCGGGCUCGAGGCCGGUAGAGGGAAGCGGAAUUCCGGGUGUAGUGGUGGAAUACGUAGAUAUCCGGAGGAACACCAGUGGCGAAGGCGGCUUCCUGGACCGGUUCUGACACUGAGGAACGAAAGCGUGGGGAGCGAUCCGGAUUAGAUACCCGGGUAGUCCACGCCGUAAACGGUGGGCACUAGGCGUCGGGGGUAUCGACCCCUCCGGUGCCGCAGCUAACGCAUUAAGUGCCCUGCCUGGGGAGUACGGCCGCAAGGCUA